UUCUUUAUACACUGCCUAGGUAAUAACUGUAGAGACAGUACCUUGUGCCCAGCUUAUGCCACCUGCACCAACACAGUGGACAGUUACUAUUGCACUUGCAAACGAGGCUUCCUGUCCAGCAAUGGGCAAAAUCACUUCAAGGGUCCAGGAGUGCAAUGCAAAGAUAUUGAUGAAUGUUCUCAAAGCCCCCAGCCCUGUGGUCCUAACUCAUCCUGCAAAAACCUGUCGGGGAGGUACAAGUGCAGCUGUUUACAUGGUUUCUCUUCUCCCACUGGAAAUGACUGGGUCCCAGGAAAGCCGGGCAAUUUCUCCUGUACUG
rnacentral:sRNA from 1 species